rnacentral:siRNA from 1 species
GACUAACAGAGAGAUACUAACGGG